UACGAGGGGGGCGAGCGUUGUUCGGAAUUAUUGGGCGUAAAGGGUGCGUAGGCGGCCUGACAAGUCUGAUGUGAAAUCCCUGGGCUCAACCCAGGGCCUGCAUCGGAAACUGUCGGGCUUGAGUAUGGGAGAGGUGAGUGGAACUGCGAGUGUAGAGGUGAAAUUCGUAGAUAUUCGCAAGAACACCAGUGGCGAAGGCGGCUCACUGGCCCAUUACUGACGCUGAGGCACGAA
rnacentral:rRNA from 1 species